rnacentral:tRNA from 1 species
GCACUAGUAGCUCAGCCUCAGAGCGCCGGUCUUGUAAGCCGGACGCCGAGGGUUAGAAUCCCUCCUACUGCU